rnacentral:rRNA from 1 species
GACGAACGCUGGCGGCGUGCUUAACACAUGCAAGUCGAACGGAAAGGCCCUGCUUUUGUGGGGUGCUCGAGUGGCGAACGGGUGAGUAACACGUGAGUAACCUGCCCUUGACUUUGGGAUAACUUCAGGAAACUGGGGCUAAUACCGGAUAGGAGCUCCUGCUGCAUGGUGGGGGUUGGAAAGUUUCGGCGGUUGGGGAUGGACUCGCGGCUUAUCAGCUUGUUGGUGGGGUAGUGGCUUACCAAGGCUUUGACGGGUAGCCGGCCUGAGAGGGUGACCGGCCACAUUGGGACUGAGAUACGGCCCAGACUCCUACGGGAGGCAGCAGUGGGGAAUAUUGCACAAUGGGCGGAAGCCUGAUGCAGCAACGCCGCGUGCGGGAUGACGGCCUUCGGGUUGUAAACCGCUUUCGCCUGUGACGAAGCGUGAGUGACGGUAAUGGGUAGAGAAGCACCGGCUAACUUCGUG